UCUUCCCUGGCCCUCCUUAGCACAUAUCAUAGUCUACCAUAGUAUUCUACUUACUGGCCUUAUUUAUUUCCCAUACUCCCCACUAAAAUAUAAGCAGCACAAAGCUAGGGAGUUUUGUCUAUUGCUCAUUACUUUAUAGUCAGAGUAGUGCCUGGCACGUAGCCGGCUCCCAGCACGUCCCUGUUGGCUGCAUGCAUGGCCAUGCAUACUAAAUGGAAACUCAGAGGAAGCAGCAAAACCCCUUGUGGUAGGUGCAUGUUGGGGGGUGCCCAGGAAGGGUGGGCGGAGGGAGGUUGAAGAGGGACUAAGGGGCCAGCUCACCUGAGGACUGCUACCUGAGUGAGCUGAAGGCCAAAAUAGGGUUUGAGAAUAGGAGUGAUGUGAGUGAAACAUUACUUUAGAAUAUAUCUUAAUCUAUAAUUUUUAAAAGGCUACCAUAGGAAGAAUUUAAAUUCUAUCUAAAUUGCCAGGUUUCAAGAGCAACUUUAGUAUCUAGUUCUAGUCACAAGUGCCUCCAAGUCAUGGUUGCAGUUCCCUGUUCAGAGACCAACCCUCCUGUUGCUAAAGGAAUGUUCCUGGCUUGUCAAAAGCCCCAGAAAUCCCAGCUCUCUGGAGUGCUUGGUCCUCCACAAUCAAAUGAGCAGAAAGGGUUUCCCUGGAGGUAGAUCAGAAGGAUAGGCUUCCCCUGGUGUUAUUGGUCAAACUACAAAAGGACAUGGAAGUAAAGUGAAAACAAGAAAGAAAGCAGAACAACUUGCUGAUGGAGUAGUUUGGAGCAUUAAGCCUCGGCUGUUGUAGGGAAUUUGCAUGCCACCUGGAGAGUGUGCGAGCAGAAUGGAGGGGGUACCUGUCAUGGGUGCUGGGGGUGGAGGAAGGUGAGCCAGGACCAGGUGUUCUCUGAUCUGAAGCCCCUGCAGGCCUCCUGGUGUGGUCCUGGCUCUCUUCCCCGGACAGAGCUGGGGGUAGCAUCUUAGUGGGGCAUCUCCUGCAGGCCGACUGCUCUCGGUGCCCAGCUGGCCACUACUGCGGCUCUGCAGGCCUCACCAGCCCUUCAGGGCCCUGCAGCUCAGGCUUCUUCUGCCGCCAUGGGGCCCUCAUUCCCAACGGCUCCCUGGGAGAUGGGACCAGUGGCCCUUGCCCUGCAGGGCACUUUUGCCCUCCAGGCACUGUGACCCCCAGACCGUGCCCAGCAGGCACCUACAACAGCCUGGCUGCCCAGGGCCACUGCGAGUCUUGUCCUGAGGGGUGAGUGCUGAGAGGCCGUCCAAGGGGCUUGUGUGUCCUGCCCAACGGGGUGAGCCUUCCUGCUACAGGAAGUGGCUGGACUGGAUGCUCUCUAAGACCCCUUUCAACCUGAGUUUUCUGUGACUUUAAAAAAAGGUCACUGAAGGGGGUACCUGGGUGGCUCAGUGGUUGAGCAUCUGCCUUCGGCUCAGGGCAUGAUCCCGGGGUCCUGGGAUCGAGUCCCACACCGGGCUCCCUGAGAGGAGCCUGCUUCUCCCUCUGCCUAUGUCUCUGCCUCUCUCUGUGUCUCUCAUGAAUAAAUUUUUAAAAAAAAUCA
rnacentral:lncRNA from 12 species